rnacentral:rRNA from 1 species
UGGGGAAUUUUGGACAAUGGGCGAAAGCCUGAUCCAGCAAUGCCGCGUGUGUGAAGAAGGCCUUCGGGUUGUAAAGCACUUUUGUCCGGAAAGAAAUCCUUGGCUCUAAUACAGUCGGGGGAUGACGGUACCGGAAGAAUAAGCACCGGCUAACUACGUGCCAGCAGCCGCGGUAAUACGUAGGGUGCAAGCGUUAAUCGGAAUUACUGGGCGUAAAGCGUGCGCAGGCGGUUUGCUAAGACCGAUGUGAAAUCCCCGGGCUCAACCUGGGAACUGCAUUGGUGACUGGCAGGCUAGAGUAUGGCAGAGGGGGGUAGAAUUCCACGUGUAGCAGUGAAAUGCGUAGAGAUGUGGAGGAAUACCGAUGGCGAAGGCAGCCCCCUGGGCCAAAUACUGACGCUCAUGCACGAAAGCGUGGGGAGCAAACAGGAUUAGAUACCCUGGUAGUCCACGCCCUAAACGAUGUCAACUAGUUGUUGGGGACUUCAUUUCCUUAGUAACGUAGCUAACGCGUGAAGUUGACCGCCUGGGGAGUACGGUCGCAAGAUU